UGGGGAGUCGUCUAGCGGUAGGACAUGCGGCUCUGGCCCGUAGAGCAGGGGUUCGAAUCCUCUCUCCCCAGCCA
rnacentral:tRNA from 1 species